rnacentral:rRNA from 1 species
ACACUCCUGCGGGAGGCAGCAGUGGGGAAUCUUGCGCAAUGGGCGAAAGCCUGACGCAGCCAUGCCGCGUGAAUGAUGAAGGUCUUAGGAUUGUAAAAUUCUUUCACCGGGGACGAUAAUGACGGUACCCGGAGAAGAAGCCCCGGCUAACUUCGUGCCAGCAGCCGCGGUAAUACGAAGGGGGCUAGCGUUGCUCGGAAUUACUGGGCGUAAAGGGAGCGUAGGCGGACAUUUAAGUCAGGGGUGAAAUCCCGGGGCUCAACCUCGGAAUUGCCUUUGAUACUGGGUGUCUUGAGUAUGAGAGAGGUGUGUGGAACUCCGAGUGUAGAGGUGAAAUUCGUAGAUAUUCGGAAGAACACCAGUGGCGAAGGCGACACACUGGCUCAUUACUGACGCUGAGGCUCGAAAGCGUGGGGAGCAAACAGGAUUAGAAACCCCUGUAGUCCCAUG